CAUCCCGUUUCUGGUGUCCAGAGAGGGGACCAGGGCUCAUCCAGCCGGAAUCAAUCGGGGAGGCGCACCCAGCCCAGACAGUCGGCGGCAGGGACCCCUCAGCGGCCUGCCUCCACCCCACCCCAGCCCCUCGCUGUGCCUGGAGGCUCCUGGUCGCGGGCCGCUUCCUUCUCCUGGGGGGGUACCCUGAGAGCCCCCACGCUGCCCGGAGGUCAUCGGUCCAGGGUCUCUGGGUGAGGUCAUCCCGGGACGCGAGUUCCCGCCCCUCCUGGAGUCCUGGACUUUCCCAUCACAAAAGGCAUCUUCUGCCUCCUCCGUGGCCAGCGAGGACCCUCUGCGCCAUCCCUGGGGACUGCCUCGUCCUCCCCCUCUGCCUACCCUGCCUGCGCGCCCACAUCAAGGGGGUUUUAUGCACGCUCCCUCACUUUUGACUAACAUAGGGGUCUCGGAUCCUGCGGCCUCCUCCAGUGAGGUUCGGACGCCAGAGCCCGCAAAGCCCAGGCUUCGCGAGGCAGAUGGGGGUGGGGGGUGCUGCGGCAAGGGGGUGGUAGCUGCAGGGCCGGGGUCCGCUGCCCCGGAACGCAGGACUCGAGGUUUCUUAUGGACACAGCGCCACCCCCACCCCCGCAUGACCGCCGCGGGGAAAGCCAGGAAGAGGAACGGGCUCCCGGGUCUGAACCGCUCGCUAGGGGCACAGGGCGCUGCUGGUCACGCGAAGAAACCGACUCAGGCCAGAGUAGGAAAUUUUGUGCCUUGAAUAAUGAAUCCCCCUGGAGCCCACGGUACCUGUACUUCUCUUUAGUGUCCUCUGAGAAUAACGUGUUCGACAUUCAAGUGACAACGCUGGAAAGGAUUUCAAAGCCCUGGAGCCCCAGCCAGCUCUGCACCCUGAUGGCUCUUCUGCCUGCCCUCUCUUUGGCUUCCAAAUGCAGCAAGUUCUUUCUUUACUUAAAAUAUAUUCAUCUUUUACACGGGUCCUGGUUGUCCACAGAAACACAGCCCAGAUAAGCAGGCUCUUCUAAAUUUGAACCAGCCCUGCUGGUACAAAGGUUCCAAACUGCUAAGGUCCCCAGUAUACUACUUAGAUUUUUUUUUAAUGGAAAAACCAGGGACCAGAGAGGUGCAAUGUCUUGUCCCAAGCCAAAAUAGGCUUUUCUGAUGUUGAUAUUGUUUGACUGGCUCAGGCUGGCUUUCUAUGAGGAAAAAAAUAGUAAACACGCAGUAAUUUAAUAAAAGGGACAUGGUUUAAGUUGUAAGCAGUAUUCGAGCCUUUGGGACACUGCAUGGUGCUGAGCAGCUAUUUUGUAGAGGUUUGAAUUUAAGGGGCAAAUGCUGGGAAAUAUACUCAGAAAAAUCUCAGGAAGAUGAGAGAAUAAAAGUUUUACAAAAUAAUAGAAGCAAAUGGUCUUUCAUGCCUGAACUUUCAGUUUUGUUUUUAGUUGAGCCUUCUUUCUAGUUUGAAAUAGAUUCAAAGCCUUUUUAAAAACAAGUAACUUUUUGGCCAGAUAUAUUAGGAUGUAUCCAUAUAAUACCAUAGAACCAAUUUUUAACAAGUUCUUAACUGAUAUGGAAGGAUCUCCAAGAUACAUUACUGAGUAACAAGCAGAUAUACUACUAUUUGAAUGAGAUGAAAAAAUCAAAAGAGAGUAUAUAUGCAUAUUUGUAUAGCAGUAGACUAUCUCUGGAAGAACAUUGCUUUGGGGGAUGGGCUGGGAGGACAGAGAGAGGCGACUGUCCUCUCUUUAUCUAAAUCCUUUGUCUGUUUGUUUUUAAAUGAUGUAAAUUAAUUACUUGUUUAAAAAAAUAAAUAAAACCUGAUAAAUAAUUAAA